rnacentral:snoRNA from 1 species
AUGCCAUGAUGAGGGCACUUUCAUAAUAACUCCUUGAACUACUCUCAUGCCUCAUAUAAAGAUUCUUCAUCAGGUUGCUAAAAUGAAGUGAUUUCAUUUCAGAUCUU